GUGGGUGAGGCCCCGUGGGCCCCGAACCCUGAUCUGCUUCUAGCCGGCGAAUAACUGGAAUUAACGGAGCAGGUUUAGUGUGCACGUGAGAUACUCUGGACCUUUCCACCCGCCCCACCCGACUGCGGGGAUAGUCACACAGUCACGUGCCGGGUGGGUCCCGGGGGUCGCACUUCGCUGGAGCUGGUCCCCGAGCCGCUGGCAGUGAAGUGACGGGGAAAGCGCGGGACCGGAAGGAGGGACGCAGGGCUCCAGGACUUCCAGCGCUUUCAGGCUAAUACUGGAUGCACACGAAAUCACAUGUUGAGCAAAUAUGUGGGUGGAGCAAUCAGUAUCAGAUGAUAACUGGGCUUAAGGAAAAUAACUUUCAAGUCAUACUUGCUUAAAAGAGAUCUACUUAGUCAAAAGGCUACAUUGCUUAAACAGUGAGAAAAAUCCAUGAAUAGAUAGAUUUCAUAAUGACAAAAAAAAAAGAAGAAAAGAAAAGAAGGAACCAUGAGUCACCCACAGAGGACGCCAGGGAACUGUGACAUAAUAAGAAAUAUGUAUGUGGUGUCUACACGGGCUUCCUGGCACAGAGCUCCUGAAACGCUUGGAAUUUCUUGAGUGAUCAGGUGAAACGAGGCCUCCUUGCUUAUUUAUAACUAGCCUCUUUCAACCACACCUGAGUUUAUGUUAAUGAGGUGACUUAGAAAAGACCCUAAGGAUGGGACUGAGGGGAGGCUGGGUUGAUUAGAGGGUCAGACCCGUCAGCCCCACCCACUGACCUCAGGGGAGGGGCGAGGAGCUGGAGAUGGACUUAAUCACUAAUGGCCAAUGAUUUAAUCGAUGACGCCUAAGAAAUGAAGCCUCCGUAAAAACCCUAAACAACGGGUUUUGGAGAGCAUCUGGGCUGGUGAACACGUCAAAGUCCUGGGAGUGGUGGGCAUGGAUGCCCCACCCCUCCCCCAAUACCUGUGCAUCUUGUCCCUUUGGCUGUUCCUGAGUUGUGUCCUUUGUAAUAAAUGGGUGAUAGUAAGUGCUUUCCUAACUUCUGUGAGCAAAUGAUCAAGCUGAGGUGAGGGUUGUGGGCAUCUCCGAUUUAUAGCUGGUUGGUCAGAAGUGCAGGUACCCGGGAUUUGCAACUAGCAUCUCAAGUUGGGGAUGGUCUUGUGGGACUGUGCCUCUAGCCCGUCUGCACUAACUUCGGGUAGUUAGUGUCAGAAUUGCUUCAUGGGACAGAGAAUCCCACACAUCUGGCCUCAGAAGUUUUGUGAGUAGAAGAAAUAGUCAUAGUUUUCUUUCAGGAACCAACCUAUCAUUCUAACAACUUAUAAAUAAAAAGAAAGAAUCAAACACUUGUCUGGCCUUCCUGUACAAACUGUACCUGAGGGUAACCACUCGUUGAUGAAAUGGUUUCCCUUUGUAGAGAGAUUCCAGCUAAGAAGCGAAGCAGGCCUCAUAGAUCCAGAAAUAUCACAGGGCUGCAGCCUCCAGUGAAAGAGCGGGUGUAAGCAAAGAUCACCAACGGCUGCUAAAAGCAUUAGGUGAAAAAAGGACAGAACUUGACAGUGUUAUGAGUCAGCCUGGCAGGGCCUGGGCCCUCUGAACAAUCCCAGCGUCACAGAAACAGACAGAUAUUCCGUGCUUCCCGAUGGAAGCACGCAAAACCACUUACACAGUGUCCAUGCCAAAGAAAUUGAACCUAAAUCUGAUUGAGCCUCUAGAUGUAUGGAUUACAGAAAAUAGAAGAGACAGAGGAGGCUUUUAAACAACGUCAGUGGCAUGCAAUUAGCAAGGUUCAGACUGUGGAAAAACUUACAGGAACAAAUGACAAAUACAUUUCCAGGAAAAGAAAGGAAGUGAGCCUGACUGAAACAGAGGAGGAACCCAUGGCUUAGAAGAGACAUAGAAACUGAAUGUAACACGUGACCCUUAUUUGGCUCUUAAACAAACUGGUCGUUAAGAAAGAAAAAAAUUCAAGAGCUACCCAGAAGGCUUUCUCUACUAAAGGCAGAGACAGGGUCACAAACCCCACCCACUGUCUUUGCCUUUUCUUGGCUUAAAUCCUGUAAUUAAAGAGGUGUGCCUUUUAGUUCACCCUUCUUGUCCAGAGCUCACACCCUUUACAAGUCAGCACAUUAAACCUCAUCAGUCACAGACUCUCAGACUUUGCUGAGUUCAUGAGCUUGUUUCCCAAGGGCGGGCGUCAGUGAAACAUCUACAGCUCGAAGGUGAUGAUUUUUCUAAAAGCCACUGACUUCAUGAGGGUACUGAGCUCCCUGGUCUUUACACGUUUGAUUCUUCAGAGUCGAUUGCAAGUGAUACGCUGGUCAAGGGGGUUGGAGCAGGCCUGGCGAAGAUGGUGAUGUUCUGAUUUCUUGUGUGUUUUGUCUUUGGAAUUUUUUUUUUUCUCUAUGUCUUCAUAGGAAUGAACGAGAGUUUAGAAGACCAAAUAUUUCAAACCAACCAGUGAAGCCCUUUGGUGCGGUUUUGACUCCAAAGCAGCAAGACUGUCUCCUGGUCUCCCAGGGCCAUACGCCACGGGCUCACUUUUCAAAUUAAGGUGCAAUCCAAGUGAAGGUGGAAAGGCAAGGUGUGAGGUCCUUCGACAGCAUCCCUGGUAGGUGACCAUCCACUCUCUAUAAACACCUCCAAUAGGAAUCUCAGCCACAUUUCAUGAAGCUUCACUGUUGCCUCACCAGGAACCAGUCUUCCCCAUUUCCCAGGACAGCACUUCGAGUCUUAGAGACAGUGUUCUCAUCCCCGCCCCGAGUCAGUGAUUCCUACCUGGAGUCUCGGGAAUGUGAGGGGACAGCCAUCCUAUUGGACAAUAGCAGCUCCUUGGAACAGCCAAGGUUAGCAGUUGGGGGCUUUUCCUUAGAUGCCGUGAUGCUCUGUUGAGGUUAGAAAUUUAUUUCAGUGGUUAGGAAACAAGAACAUACGCUAAAAUCUUUAAAAAUGGUUUUAUUUUAUUUUUUUUAAAGAUUUUUCGGUUUGGACAUGGACCAUUUUUAAAGUCUUUAUUGA